UUCCUGGUGGUCUAGUGGCCAAGAUUUCGCACUCCCAAUGCAAGGGCCCUGGGUUCAAUCCCCGGUCAGGGAA
rnacentral:tRNA from 1 species